rnacentral:rRNA from 1 species
AUUGAACGCUGGCGGAAUGCUUUACACAUGCAAGUCGAACGGCAGCACGGACUUCGGUCUGGUGGCGAGUGGCGAACGGGUGAGUAACAUAUCGGAACGUAUCCAAUAAUGGGGGAUAACUAAUCGAAAGGUUGGCUAAUACCGCAUACGCCCUACGGGGGAAAGCUAGGGACCUUCGGGCCUCACGCGAUUGGAGCGGC